rnacentral:lncRNA from 1 species
UUUUUUUGUAUACAUACAUGUAAAAACACCUAAAAUCGUAUGUGUAAUUACAUGAGAACUUCAACUUUGAUCAUUAUACACAUAAUUGUUUUUAUUUAGUAUCCAUCUUCAUCUUCUUCCUUUUCCCCUUCCUCCUCCCUUUGAGUAAUACUACUUCCCUGCUAAUUUCUUCCUGAUGAACACCUUUUGAUCCCUUAUUGUUAGUAUUCCUGCUUUGUCUUCUUCCUUUGUUCUUCAUCAUUUCCUCUUCUCUGUCAGCCUUCUCCAGAAGAUCCUCGUAACUUCCUUUCACUGCCUUUCCCCAGCUUGCUG